GUUCAGUACUGGGAAUCAAUUUAGGACAUAUCCAAGGUUCCCUUCCCAAGGACCCAGACCAGCUACAGAGGAGUAUAGGUAUAGCCUUAGUACCCAUUGAGACCCAGUUCUAAUAUUGAAUGGGGUUAGAUUAGCCUUUCAAAGAGG